GUCAUCGUCGUACACAGUUUUUAACACAUACCUGUACCAAUGACUAUUAAAUCAAAUUCCGUGGGCAAUGAAUCGUCCGCAGUCGACAUGCUGAACUCAAGUGAUUAGUCACUAUUUGCAUAUUUCAACACGCAAUGACGUUUUGACAGGUUCUGUGUUAUCGACGUCAUAUACAUUUUUUUUCGCUUUUUCUCUGCACAUUGACAACCAAAUUGAGUUUAAAACACAACAGCGAAAACUAUGGCUCUGGGCAAAUAUCGUUCACCAAUUUCCAUUGGAUUCAUCUUUGUGUCCGCUGCAACGUUCUUUAGUUUUCGCAAUGAAUUAUUCAACACAAACCUAGAAGAACAGCGUAAACAGUUGUACGGCGAUCCAGAAGAACAAAAAAAAUCGUUCGAAGCCGUUUGCAAAGAAAUGAAUGUUCCAUCUAACAAGUUUUUUUAAACGAAAUGAAUCGUGUAGAGAUUAUUUGAAAUAAAAAAUCAUUUUUUUUUUGUUAAAAUACAAAACUACA